rnacentral:rRNA from 1 species
AUUGAACGCUGGCGGUAUGCUUAACACAUGCAAGUCGAACGAUGAGAAAGAGCUUGCUCUUUCGAUUAGUGGCGGACGGGUGCGUAACGCGUAGGAAUCUACCUAUUAGUGGGGGACAACUUAGGGAAACUUAAGCUAAUACCGCAUACGCCCUACGGGGGAAAGACGGGGAUCGCAAGACCUUUUGCUAAUAGAUGAGCCUGCGUAGGAUUAGCUAGUUGGUGGGGUAAAAGCUCACCAAGGCGACGAUCUGUAGCGGGUCUGAGAGGAUGAUCCGCCACACUGGAACUGAGACACGGUCCAGACUCCUACGGGAGGCAGCAGUGGGGAAUUUUGGACAAUGGGGGCAACCCUGAUCCAGCCAUGCCGCGUGAGUGAAGAAGGCCUUCGGGUUGUAAAGCUCUUUCGGCCGGGAAGAAAUCGCACGGGCUAAUACCCUGUGUGGAUAACGGUACCGGAAUAAGAAGCACCGGCUAACUACGUGCCAGCCGCCGCAGUAA